CUUGUUUUUACGCACUGCCCCUUUGCAAAAUGCUUCUUACCUACGUUAUGGGUUGCUACCUUAUCCUGUGGCUGCGUUCAUGGUCCAUCUGAGCAAGGGUUUUACUCGGGGUAACUCCCUGCCUUUGCAUUGCUCUGCCAGGAUGGGGCAGAGUUUGCAACACUGCAUUGGCCAGGCUGCCCCUCUGGGUUCUCAGCCCAACUGCUCCCUCUGAAAAUCAGCAGAGAAGUAACCCAAAGGGAGUGCUGCUGUGGAGCAGCAAAGACUGAUGUGCAGUUAUAUUGCCUGCACAAACUGGGACCCUUUGGAGGAUAACACAGGGCUCCAUCCCCCACUGGGAUCUCUACCCGAAGUAACUUGCCUAACUUGUGUACCAACAAGGAGCAAGGCUGGAGCAGCGCUGAUCCUCUGCCUUCAGCAGUGCUCCUCUGCGCGCAGGGCUCGGCGCAGGCAGUCCUCCCGAGGCGGCUGCAGGCUGCAGGCAGCUCCCAUCUUGGACGACCUCAUUUUAACCUCCCUGUUUCGAGGCAGCAGUGGCAUUAUAUAACCCAGAUUUCGGCGGGUCUGCGAGGGAGGCUGCGCAGAAACAGACGUGUGCUCACACGGGUCAGGGCGUAACGGGGCUCCUUCCACUGGUGCCCUCGCCCACGUCUCACCCAGAGCUGCCAAGGAAAGCUCCCACUCCAGAGCUGCAGCUGUGGAUCUCUGGACUCACAGUGCAGAACACAUUUGUGGCAGCUCUGGGGAGGGCAGUGCUAAGGAUAGAAUGGCUCUCAGCAGCUGAAAGUGAACCCGUGGGAGCCUGGUGCUCCUGUAGGCGGACCUAUGGAGGGAGUCCCUGUGGGACUCAGGGCUCAGCCAUUCCUGGCUCAUGGCUGUGUGCCUCCAAUAGCCUUAUUUUUCACUGUCACAUCCAGUCUGCUUUCCCAAGUCCCCCUGGAGCACCUCCCUCUUUUCACCCAAGGCUUAUUGAUGGUAGGAAUGGGGCACAGCUAGUGCCAGAAGACACUUUUCUGCAGAAGCUCCCAUUUUGCAACUCCUUCACUUCCUUAUGAGAACCAUGGACCUUCUACCUUGCCACAGAUUCACCUGUAGGGGCUGUAGGAAAACAAUCAAAGCAGAGCAAGGAGGUUAAUGCAGAUGCUUUAAUGCUGUGACUUACAGACACCGCCCCCCCCACCCGCCCCCUGAGGCAUGCAGAAUUUCCUUGUGUCCUGGCACUGGGAGGCAGAAUUACCAAUGCAUGCUGAUGUCCCAUUCAGCAUUCCUCACCUAAGCACAGUUUUCCUGUGCUUUGCUGGCCUUGGCCACCAGUCCUUCAGAGUUAAUGGCCUGGCACUGGGCACCUGUUGAGUCCUCUGGGCAGUGCUGCUCAUGUGUAGGUAAUUCUCAAUUGCUCAUUUACAUCAGCUCCUCCUUUUCUAUGCAAUUGUCUCAAGAGAUGGAA
rnacentral:lncRNA from 1 species